GGGGAUGUGGCUCAGUAGUACAGUGCUUGCCUCACAUGCAUGAAGCUCUAGGUUCUAUCCCCAGCAUCAUCA
rnacentral:tRNA from 1 species